CGGGGCUGUUCCCGGGGAGGCUGUGAUGGGUUGACAGGUGCGUGACAGUCGGAGCUCUCUGCAGGCAUGUACGGCAAAGGCAAGAGCAACAGCAGCGUCCCGUCCGACAGCCAGGCUAGGGAGAAAUUAGCACUGUACGUAUAUGAAUAUCUGCUCCAUGUAGGAGCACAGAAAUCAGCCCAGACGUUUUUAUCAGAGAUAAGAUGGGAAAAAAACAUCACACUGGGGGAGCCCCCAGGAUUCUUACAUUCCUGGUGGUGUGUAUUUUGGGAUCUUUACUGUGCAGCUCCAGAAAGACGAGAAACAUGUGAACAUUCAAGUGAAGCAAAAGCCUUUCAUGACUAUAGUGCUGCAGCAGCUCCCAGUCCAGUGCUAGGAAACAUUCCCCCAGGAGAUGGCAUGCCAGUAGGUCCUGUACCACCGGGUUUUUUUCAGCCUUUCAUGUCCCCUCGGUACCCUGGAGGUCCAAGGCCACCUUUAAGAAUACCCAAUCAGGCACUUGGAGGUGUCCCAGGAAGUCAGCCAUUAUUGCCUAGUGGGAUGGACCCAACACGGCAGCAAGGACAUCCAAACAUGGGUGGGCCAAUGCAGAGAAUGACUCCUCCAAGAGGAAUGGUUCCAUUAGGACCCCAGUCUGACCCUUGGUUAUCAUUGCAGAACUAUGGAGGUGCAAUGAGACCCCCACUGAAUGCUUUAGGUGGCCCGGGGAUGCCUGGAAUGAACAUGGGUCCUGGGGGUGGUAGACCAUGGCCAAAUCCAACCAAUGCCAAUUCUAUACCUUAUUCUUCAGCAUCUCCUGGGAACUAUGUAGGUCCUCCAGGAGGUGGAGGCCCACCAGGAACACCCAUCAUGCCUAGUCCUGCAGAUUCAACCAACUCUGGAGACAACAUGUACACUUUAAUGAAUGCAGUACCACCUGGACCCAACAGACCUAAUUUUCCCAUGGGGCCAGGGUCGGAUGGACCUAUGAGUGGACUGGGUGGAAUGGAUUCACAUCAUAUGAAUGGAUCAUUAGGCUCAGGAGACAUGGACAGUAUUUCCAAAAACUCUCCCAGUAAUAUGAGCAUGAGCAAUCAGCCUGGCACUCCCAGGGAUGACGGUGAGAUGGGUGGAAACUUCCUAAACCCUUUUCAGAGUGAGAGCGUUCCUAAAUAGGAGUGGCCUGAUUUUUCAGAAGUGCUGAGUGACUUCAACACUUCUAUUCUUAUUGGAAAUCACUGCUGCCAGAAUACUCCCCUAGCAUGACAAUGAGUGUGUGAUCCGUUAACAAGUCUCGCCGUGAAGACCACAGUGAGUUGGCCCUCUUCAGAGAGCUACCACAGAAGAAAAUUAUUCGUCCCAGUGUACAGUUUAACAAAAGGAUCUCUGAUACAAUCAGACCCACCUUUUUCUUUGUUUUUAUUCUUUUUUUUUAAU